rnacentral:rRNA from 1 species
UUUUCCUACGGGACGCAGCAGUGAGGAAUAUUGGUCAAUGGGCGCGAGCCUGAACCAGCCAAGUCGCGUGAGGGAAGACGGUCCUAUGGAUUGUAAACCUCUUUUGUCGGAGAACAAAACCCGGGACGUGUCCCGGACUGCGUGUAUCCGAAGAAAAAGCAUCGGCUAACUCCGUGCCAGCAGCCGCGGUAAUACGGAGGAUGCGAGCGUUAUCCGGAUUUAUUGGGUUUAAAGGGUGCGUAGGCGGUCUGUUAAGUCAGCGGUAAAAUUGCGGGGCUCAACCCCGUCGAGCCGUUGAAACUGGC